GUCAGUCUUGGUAUCGACAUUAUAACUGAAACACUAAAAAAAGUUAUAAUUAGUUUUAUAUUUUAUUUAAAUCCCCUGUGUGACCUAAGCAAGCAAUGGAAAAUUGGAAGUUGAUUAGCAGUAAUAUUAAACAGAUCGAAGACAGAGUAAGUUGUUGGAACAGGACUUUUUAGGUGAAUUUGGAAGUGGAUCAUCGAGACUUAGGCGAAUAAAGUAAAUUAGCUGCAGUGAGGAAAGGAAGAUUAGUUUAAUCAAAUUAUCAUCUUCUUAAAUUUCUUCAUUCGGUAUAAUAAAAUAAAUAUGUCCGCGCAUUUGUUAAUAUCGGCACUAAAUUAAUAUGAAUAGGUAGUUAAUAAGUAGCAAGCAUAAUAUUUAAGGUCGACAACAAAUGAUAGGAAAAUCUGUAUAUUAUACAUACCUUAAACGCCAAUGCCAAAUGUGUUGGACAAAAACGUCCUGGAUUCCUACACCAGACUAUAAUAAAAAGUUAUUAGUGGAAAAUAUAUUUACAAAAGCGAUAAA